UACGUAGGGCGCAAGCGUUGUCCGGAAUUAUUGGGCGUAAAGAGCUCGUAGGCGGUUUGUCGCGUCUGCCGUGAAAACCCGAGGCUUAACCUCGUGGCUUGCGGUGGAUACGGGCAGACUAGAGGUAGGUAGGGGAGAAUGGAAUUCCCGGUGUAGCGGUGAAAUGCGCAGAUAUCGGGAGGAACACCUGUGGCGAAAGCGGCUCACUGGACCACAACUGACGCUGAGGUGCGAAAGCGUGGGGAGCGAACGAGGA
rnacentral:rRNA from 1 species